ACUGCUCAGUAACACGUGGACAACCUACCCUCCGGACGGGUAUAAACCCGGGAAACUGGGUAUAAUCCCCGAUAGAUCUCGGUCGCUGGAAAGCCCCGAGAUCGAAAGCUCCGGCGCCAGAGGAUGGGUCUGCGGCCUAUCAGGUAGUAGUGGGUGUAGCGUACCUACUAGCCUACGACGGGUACGGGUUGUGAGAGCAAGAGCCCGGAGAUGGAUUCUGAGACACGAAUCCAGGCCCUACGGGGUGCAGCAGGCGCGAAAACUUUACAAUGCCGGCAACGGCGAUAAGGGGACCUCGAGUGCCAGGUUACAAAUCUGGCUGUCGUGAUGCCUAAAAAGCAUUGCAUAGCAAGGGCCGGGCAAGACCGGUGCCAGCCGCCGCGGUAACACCGGCGGCUCGAGUGGUAACCGUUAUUAUUGGGUCUAAAGGGUCUGUAGCCGGCCGGAUAAGUCUCUUGAGAAAUCCAGCAGCUCAACUGUUGGGCUUUCAGGAGAUACUGUCUGGCUCGAGGCCGGGAGAGGUGAGAGGUACUUCAGGGGUAGGGGUGAAAUCUUGUAAUCCUUGAAGGACCACCAGUGGCGAAGGCGUCUCACCAGAACGGACCUGACGGCAAGGGACGAAAGCUAGGGGCACGAACCGGAUUAGAUACCCGGGUAGUCCUAGCCGUAAACGAUACUCGCUAGGUGUCGGCCACGGUGCGACCGUUGUCGGUGCCGUAGGGAAGCCGUGAAGCGAGCCACCUGGGAAGUACGGCCGCAAGGCUGAAACUUAAAGGAAUUGGCGGGGGAGCACCACAACGGGUGGAGCUUGCGGUUUAAUUGGAUUCAACGCCGGAAAUCUUACCGGGACCGACAGCAACAUGAAGGCCAGGCUGAAGACUUUGCCGGAUUAGCUGAGAGGUGGUGCAUGGCCGUCGUCAGUUCGUACUGUGAAGCAUCCUGUUAAGUCAGGCAACGAGCGAGACCCCCGCC
rnacentral:rRNA from 1 species